rnacentral:rRNA from 2 species
UAGUGGCGAACGGGUGAGUAACACGUGGGCAAUCUGCCCUUCACUCUGGGACAAGCCCUGGAAACGGGGUCUAAUACCGGAUAAUACUUUCUCCUGCAUGGGGGAGGGUUGAAAGCUCCGGCGGUGAAGGAUGAGCCCGCGGCCUAUCAGCUUGUUGGUGGGGUGAUGGCCUACCAAGGCGACGACGGGUAGCCGGCCUGAGAGGGCGACCGGCCACACUGGGACUGAGACACGGCCCAGACUCCUACGGGAGGCAGCAGUGGGGAAUAUUGCACAAUGGGCGGAAGCCUGAUGCAGCGACGCCGCGUGAGGGAUGACGGCCUUCGGGUUGUAAACCUCUUUCAGCAGGGAAGAAGCGUGAGUGACGGUACCUGCAGAAGAAGCGCCGGCUAACUACGUGCCAGCAGCCGCGGUAAUACGUAGGGCGCAAGCGUUGUCCGGAAUUAUUGGGCGUAAAGAGCUCGUAGGCGGCUUGUCGCGUCGGAUGUGAAAGCCCGGGGCUUAACUCCGGGUCUGCAUUCGAUACGGGCAGGCUAGAGUGUGGUAGGGGAGAUCGGAAUUCCU